rnacentral:lncRNA from 10 species
GAGUUGUGUCUGCUGCUUCUUGGCAGUCCCCAAAGUACGUCCUCUCAGCAGACGGAGCUGCUGGCAAAUGAAACAGGGGAUUCCACUUGAAGUGCAGAAAGCCUCGAAGGGAUCCAAAGCCCUCGGUGGCAGGGAGUUAAAAGUACAUGGUAGUCGGAAAGGGAGACCCGAGCGUGCGUUAAAGCGCUGAUUGGCCUUUCUUUUCACGGUGUGCGCCUCUGCGGCCUGGGGUGGAGAGAGGCCGAGUGUCUUUCUCUUCAUUGUUGCCCUGGUUCCUGUCUCACUUGGGCCAAGGAGUUCUCGGGCUUCCUCGUGGUCGCGCAGCCCAGGUCACCGGGGCGCGGCUUGGAAGGAAGGGGCCGCCAAGCUGGGACUUAGAGAGUCUGAGGUUUUCGGGAAGGGUCCUAUCAGUGACUGAGGGGAGCAAAAGUAACCGGAAAGAAAGGAAAGAAGAAACGGUCAGAGCCUGCUCCGCGCGCACUUCAAAGCCGAGGCGCCCGCGUGGGGGAUGCACGGGCCCAGCCGCCAGCCCUGGGUCCCGGCUUCUAUCCACCGGGUGUGACCCGGCUGGGCGGCCUGCUUGGGACCCAGGGCGGUGACAGGGGAAAGGCCGAGGGAGGAGAGAGCGGGCCCCGGAGGGGACGCACGACCGGAAUCUUGGCGAGGGGCUUCCUCCGGAGCCCCAGCCCAGAGGGGGGCCAGCGCUCCCUCCCCGCCGUCUCCCUCCGGUCCCUCCCCUGCCCGCGGGCCGGGCGACUCUUCGCCGGCCGCCUUUUCCGCGCGCCGCAGACUGAGCCCGCUGCUUUGCUCGCAAGUCAGUCGCAAAGCGUGGCGUUCCGAGAGGCGCUGAAACUUUCCUCCAAAUAGCUGCGGCCAAUAGGCCGUGGUGAACAGAGCCUGGCCCCCGGCUGCUUCCCGGCCCUCCUCCCUGGGGAAAGAACGGCCAACUUGAACCCCUCCGGUGGCAGAAGAGGGAGGGGUGGUGGUGGUUGGGGAGACGGGCGAACCGCACUAACUUGUGCCUUUGAAUCUUUCCUUUCCUGAAAGAGCAGCGCGCCCUUUCUCUAAAGGGCAGUCGCGAGCUCACACACACACUUGGCACCAACCCUUUCCUUCAGAACCCGCGGCUCUCCCAGGGAGGAAGCAGCCCUGGCACCCACGUCGGUAAACACACCGUCAGGGUUUUUUUAGUGAAACCAAUUAAGUCAAAAAGCCAUGGGGCUGGCCCUGGGAAGAUGGCCCCUGCCAGGAGGAAGAGGAACGAGGCUGAACAGUGGACAAAUAAUCCGAAUCUUUUAAAAGUGGGAGCAGAGACAGAAGGAGGAACAGUCAUUAUCAUUAGAAAACGCCAGCCCCAAAUGGCCCUACCUCGCCCUUUUGAAAGGUGGGGAUAAUUUUAUGUUAAGUAAUCUGCGUUUAUGCUUCACUAGGAAACCUCAAUAAAAACGGAUUCUGAAUAAACUUGAAACUAUUUUGGAAAAAAGAAGAGUAAACGACGUGGAAAUCCUUGGAAAACUGGGGAUGUACCUUUCCAGGGGGGUUAUAAAUGAAGGGAAUAGAACAAUCAAAAGGUGGACAGCUUCUCACUUCUUUUUCUUCUUCUUCCCCCGCGUACAUCGACCCCACUGACUUCCCUUUUCUCUCCAGGUGUACCGAGUAAGUGAGCGGGAAAGGUUUAUUGUAAAAGAGCUAG